AACGCGAAGAACCUUACCAGGGUUUGACAUGCAGCUGCACCACCCGUUAUGGGGUGUCCCUUCGGGGCGGUUGCACAGGUGCUGCAUGGCUGUCGUCAGCUCGUGUCGUGAGAUGUUGGGUUCAGUCCCGCAACGAGCGCAACCCCUGCCGCUAGUUGAAUAGUCUAGCGGGACCGCCGCGAUCAACGCGGAGGAAGGCGGGGAUGACGUCAAGUCAGCACGGCCCUUACACCCUGGGCUACACACACGCUACAAUGGUCGGUACAACGGGCUGCCAACCCGCAAGGGGGAGCCAAUCCCAUCAAAACCGGCCUCAGUUCAGAUUGCAGGCUGCAACUCGCCUGCAUGAAGGAGGAGUUGCUAGUAACCGUGGGUCAGCACACUACGGUGAAUACGUUCCCGGGCCUUGUA
rnacentral:rRNA from 1 species